rnacentral:rRNA from 1 species
UACGUGGGGUGCAAGCGUUGUCCGGAAUUACUGGGCGUAAAGGGCGCGCAGGCGGCCCUUGAAGUCAGGCGUGAAAGCCCCGGGCUCAACCUGGGAGGUGCGCUUGAUACUCGAGGGCUUGAGUGCGGGAGAGGAGAGUGGAAUUCCCAGUGUAGAGGUGAAAUUCGUAGAUAUUGGGAAGAACACCGGUGGCGAAGGCGGCCUGCUGGGCAGUAGCUGACACUGAGGCGCGACAGCGUGGGGAGCAAACAGG